rnacentral:rRNA from 1 species
AUUGAACGCUGGCGGCAGGCCUAACACAUGCAAGUCGAGCGGAUGACGGGAGCUUGCUCCUUGAUUCAGCGGCGGACGGGUGAGUAAUGCCUAGGAAUCUGCCUGGUAGUGGGGGACAACGUUUCGAAAGGAACGCUAAUACCGCAUACGUCCUACGGGAGAAAGCAGGGGACCUUCGGGCCUUGCGCUAUCAGAUGAGCCUAGGUCGGAUUAGCUAGUUGGUGGGGUAAUGGCUCACCAAGGCGACGAUCCGUAACUGGGCUGAGGGGAUGAUCAGUCACACUGGAACUGAGACACGGUCCAGACUCCUACGGGAGGCAGCAGUGGGGAAUAUUGGACAAUGGGCGAAAGCCUGAUCCAGCCAUGCCGCGUGUGUGAAGAAGGUCUUCGGAUUGUAAAGCACUUUAAGUUGGGAGGAAGGGCAGUAAGCGAAUACCUUGCUGUUUUGACGUUACCAACAGAAUAAGCACCGGCUAACUCUGUGCCAGCCGCCGCGGUAAAAC